UACAGAGGAUGCAAGCGUUGCUCGGAAUCACUGGGCGUAAAGGGCGCGUAGGCGGGAUGGCAAGUCGGUCGUGAAAUCCUUCGGCCCAACCGAAGAACGUCGGCCGAUACUGCCAUUCUUGAGGGAUGCAGAGGAGACUGGAAUUCCCGGUGUAGCGGUGAAAUGCGCAAAUAUCAGGAGGAACACCAAUUGCGAAGGCAGCUCGCUGGGACGUUACUGACGCUGAGACGCGAAAGCGUGGGGAGCAAACAGG
rnacentral:rRNA from 1 species